UACGGAGGGUGCGAGCGUUGUCCGGAAUCAUUGGGCGUAAAGGGCGCGUAGGUGGCCCGGUCAGUUCGUGGUGAAAGCGCGGGGCUCAACCCUGCGUCGGCCAUGAAUACUGCCGCGGCUGGAGCACUGUAGAGGCAGGCGGAAUUCCGGGUGUAGCGGUGGAAUGCGUAGAGAUCCGGAAGAACACCGGUGGCGAAGGCGGCCUGCUGGGCAGUUGCUGACACUGAGGCGCGACGCACGGGAGGGAGCAAACAGGGAUUAAGAACC
rnacentral:rRNA from 1 species